AUUGAACGCUGGCGGCAUGCCUUACACAUGCAAGUCGAACGGCAGCACGGGAGCUUGCUCCUGGUGGCGAGUGGCGAACGGGUGAGUAAUAUAUCGGAACGUACCCUAGAGUGGGGAUAACGCAGCGAAAGUUGCGCUAAUACCGCAUACGAUCUACGGAUGAAAGUGGGGGAUCGCAAGACCUCAUGCUCAUGGAGCGGCCGAUAUCUGAUUAGCUAGUUGGUGGGGUAAAGGCCUACCAAGGCUUCGAUCAGUAGCUGGUCUGAGAGGACGACCAGCCACACUGGAACUGAGACACGGUCCAGACUCCUACGGGAGGCAGCAGUGGGGAAUUUUGGACAAUGGACGCAAGUCUGAUCCAGCCAUUCGCGUGCAGGAUGAAAGGCCCUCGGGUUGUAAACUGCUUUGUACGACGAAAGGUUGUCUUAAUACGUAUGAGCUCAUG
rnacentral:rRNA from 1 species